AUUGAACGCUAGCGGGAUGCCUUACACAUGCAAGUCGAACGGAGUGGCGAACGGGUGAGUAAUGUAUCGGAACGUGCCCAGUAGCGGGGGAUAACUACGCGAAAGCGUAGCUAAUACCGCAUACUAUUGGAGUGGCCGAUAUCGGAUUAGCUAGUUGGUGGGGUAACGGCUCACCAAGGCGACGAUCCGUAGCUGGUUUGAGAGGAUGACCAGCCAAACUGGGACUGAGACACGGCCCAUAUUCCUACGGGAGGCAGCAGUGGGGAAUUUUGGACAAUGGGGGAAAGCCUGAUCCAGCCAUGCCGCGUGUGCGAUGAAGGCCUUCGGGUUGUAAAGCACUUUUAGCGGGGAGGCGGUACCAGCAGAAGAAGCACCGGCUAACUACGUGCCAGCAGCCGCGGUAAUAC
rnacentral:rRNA from 1 species